UUAGGGCAAUUAGGUGGAUUUCCAAAUUACCAUGCAGAUGAAAAAGAGGGCAAGAAAAAAAGUUUCUAGGGUAAUUCAAUCAGGGAAGCUGUUACAUCACAUACUAUUGAUAAUUUAUAGGAAACUGGGCUGUCUUUUCAAAGUCCACGAGAAGCACAGAAAAUCUUCAGCAAUACGAACUGUAUUUUUUCAAAAGCUGUAAAAAUAGCCAUGCCUACACCUUUUGUACGGCUUCAAUGAAAAUUACAGACACAAUUCUCCAAUGUUCUAAGGACUAAAACCAUCGCAACAUCACAUGACUGAACUUGCUGUUUGUCUUUCUGUUGAGCAGGCUUAUUUUCUUGGUCAAAAUGUUACUACAAUGCUACACACCAAAUAGAAAACAGGCUUAGCUACCAAAACAAAAUAAACCCUAACUGUGUUUUUAAGUGUUUCGUUUCCAUGGCCUUACAAUCUUUGCACAAAAUACAAUCCUUGGAGACUUAAUUCCUAUACACAGUUUUGCCAUCACUGGUGGUGUUUUAACAACUGUUUCCCCCAAAUAAAGCUCCUAUUUAAUUCUAACCCAGUAUUUGCCAAACUACACAAAACCAUUACCCCAUCCCACCCCCGCUCAAAGGUUCAGAAUGCCUAUUUUCAUAGUUCAUCUAUUUGAAAUAAGCCCAUUUCAAAUUCCUGUUUGAUAAAUCACUCGCUUUUCUGCUUACAAAACAAUUACCCACAGUCUUUCAAUAAGUUUAAGAUAAGCAUGGGAAGGCGGGGAGGGGGGGAACCCUUUGGAAAAUGAGUACGUACUCUUUUCGAAGUUCCAAAUGUGGAAUAUAAGGGCCGGCUAAGCGUCCUUUAUUCCGCCCCGGAGACUUUUCGUUUAUCUAGCUGCUCUAGAGACCGGAGAGCUAGGGAGAGUACGCCACUUCCUAGCCUGGCAGCCAAGCUUGGCUUAAAAACCUUCGCCACCGGGCGGCGGAAUUACAAAGGAGGCCGUCUGCCUCCUUUGUCCUGGAUUUAGGAGUUGAGCGCCUUCGUCGCCAUUGGCUUUCCUCCCCCA
rnacentral:lncRNA from 1 species